rnacentral:lncRNA from 1 species
UUUCCCUAGUUCCUGUUAUAUCAAAGACUUCCCCGCUUUUAUUGCCACUGCUAAGGAACCUUUCAGGCUUAAAUGACAUUGGAUCCUCCCAUAUUUUCGGAUCCCACCCCAUUUCUGCUAUCAUGAAAUUAAUGGUAGCAUUCUUGGGUACGGAAAAUCCUCCGAGGACUGUGUCUUCUCUCACACUAUGAGGCAGAACAAAGUGGCCUGGUGGGUGCCUUCUUAGCCCCUCCAAGAUCACUGCCUUCAAGUAAGGCAUCUUCUGCAAAUCAUCUUCCUUGACCUCUUCCUCUCCAUCUCUCACAACCCCUUUGAUCUCCAUGAAUAGCUUCUCUUGAACAUGUGGAUAUUUCACCAUGUUUGCCAUAAUCCACUGCAAAGCAGUGGAGGUAGUAUCUGUUCCACCAUUGAGAAACUCAGAGCUCAAAGUGACAAUUUCCUGUUCAGUAAGAUUCCUUUGUCCCUCCGGUAGUUGAAGAUCAAGCAAAGUAUCAACAUACGCCAAAAGAUACUCGUCAUCAUCAGCUUCCUCUUUGUCCUCUUUACUCUUGCUCAAUCUCUCCUCUUUCACUUUCUUUCGUGCCCUUAUCAAAUGAACCAACACCUUUUCUUGAACCUCGAGGGCCUGACAGAACUCCUUCCAACGUUUAUGAAGCAAAAACCUUGUCAAGUUAGGCCAGAAAUUGAGUAGGUUGAAUCUUCCUCCCACGUCUAUUAGCAAACGGCGCUGAAUACUCUCAAUCUCUUUAAUUUGUUCUUGAUUAAGCUUGUCACCGAAACACAUCAGCACCAAUAAGCAGAACAUAGCAUAUUGAAAAUGAUCCACAGCACGAACUGGUUCUCCAGUUUUAGAGUGUGAGAUUAAGGAUUCUAACAAGAUUUGAAGAACCCAUUUCCGAGCAUGAGAGUAGGAUUUUAUACGCGAAGGAUGGAGGAUUUGAGCUGUGAGGUUACGCCUCAAAAGUCUCCAAGUUGGACCAUAGGGAGCAGAGUUGAUAUUAUGUUGAUUACAGGUUACAAUCUUGGCUAUGAAAGGAGGUUCGGGGCGGUCGGCAAACAAAGCACCGCUUUGAAUUAACGCCUGGUGGGCGAGAGAGCGAUCGGAGAUGAAAAUAGCAGGGCGAGAAAGAAUGUUGAGAGUGACCAUCGGACCAAGCUUGUUAUGGAGGUUCCGGAGGAUUGGUUCCAGUUCGGAAAAGGUUCUCCUGAGCCAUAAAAUGUUGCUGAUAAUGGGAAUGUUGGCAGGGCCCGGAGGGAGUGUUUGAGAAGGGUUCUCUGAAUGGGAUGAAAGAAGGUUAAUGAGAGCUCUAAAGAGAAGAGAAAUGGAGAUGGUGACGAGAAUGACGAACCAGGUUUCCAUGUUGCUUUGGGUUGAGAGAGAGUUGGGUGGUGGGUAUAUAAAAGAGGAUUUGAGGGAGCGGCAAGUAUUAUUUGUAAUUUGAGUUUGUUGGCAAAAGCUUGACUUCAUGUAACGAGGUCAAGAGAGAUACGAAAUGAAUACUACUAUGCUUUUUAAUUGGAAGAUGAUAGAUUGAUAGAAUGGCUAACCUUUUUGUGGUGGUAGACGAGAGUGAGUCUCUAGAUAUUUUGUCUGAGAUAUUAGCGGGAGCUUCAACUGUAUUUUAAAUGCUUACCGUGGUUUCAUUUUUAAAUCUUAGCACCAAUUCAAGAAUCACAAGUCCUUCUCUUAUCUUAAUUGAGGCUUAUCUUAAUUCUUAAUAUCUCUUAUAAAACGUCUAUUCAAUGAAGAAUAUUGAAUAAAUUUUGAUAUCAUAUUACAUCGGUUUACAUUUUCAAUCCUAAAAAUGCAUUUGUUUAUUAGAUGAAAAAAGAUCUUCCAAACUUAUUUCAUCUUUUAUUAAUGUGGAAUUUAUGUAGUGUAUAAUGUUAUCAAAAAUUCUAUUUUUACAAAAAUUAUACAAUUUUAAUAAAUUUCUGUUUUUAAUAUAGUAAAUAUACAAGUUGCUAGUUAUUUAAUAUAUUAUAGGGACAUGUUUUCAUCUUAACUUGUAACGAGAAAAUAAUUUUAACAUAUAGCUCGCUUUAUAUUUUAAAUAUAUAAUUUUAAUUCAAUAACACUUUUUUUAAAAAAAUUACCUGAAUAACACAUUACUUAAAUUAAUAGAGAUCUUUAAAAAAUAUUAAAAUUAAAUAACAAAUCUCAUAUAUAUAUAUAUAUAUAUAUAUAUAGAAAUAAAUUGAUAGUAUGUUGUCUUUUUGUUAAUAAUAAAUGUAUACAUUCCUUUUUAUGUUUCAUUUUCCCUAUAGUUGCAUACUCACACAAUGUACAAGUUUAUGUAAAACAAUUAUACGAUAACAUAUUAUAAUUUUGUUUUAUUUAUAUAAUCAUAUACAUAUUAACACUGCAAACCAUUAUAAAGCUCAUCAUCCAAUCAAAAAUAUAAACGCAUGUAUAUAAUUUAAGGAGAAAAAAAUGAUGAAGUAAUAUUUCAAAAAAAUCACAAUCUUUUUUAUUAUAAGUGGGGGAGGGGGAUUCGAAUCUUACUUUUUAGAUAGGGAGAUUGUAUAUCAACAAAUGAGUCAAAUGCUUAGGUGCAAAAAAAGUCAUAAUCUUUGAUAUUUUAUUAUUUCAGUAAUUAAUUCAUUUAUACCAAAAACUUUACGCACAUAAGAUAUAAAAAAAAUACAAAUUGAAGGAUUCCAUUAACCAAUCUUUAAAAAUAUAUAUAAUUUAUAUAUUAUAUUCACAACUCAAAAUUCCAACACAAUUAAAUAGGAUAUUACUAUUAAUUACAUUCAAUAUAACAAAUUAAUUAAUAAAUAAGAAAAUUGUCACACUAAUAUUCUAAAAUAUCAAUUUUGAUGGAAAUGGGGAUUAAAAUUGAAGGCCUGAACUGGUAACCGGGCUCAUAAGCAGAGUUAACUCGUUAGGCCCAUGGAAAACAACCAGAAGACGAGGGCCCAGCCCUAGAAAUCAGCAUCGGAAUGCAAAAUUUGAUAAAUGCCAGAACCCAAGAAACAAUUCGGAGAUACAAAAUUUGGAAUUUUGAAUUUAAACGGAAGCUUUGGGGAGGAGAAGGCGAAUCGAGAAUGGCAACCACUUCCAAGAACAUGAAGGGUUUCUACAGGCAAAAGAAGAACAACAGUAGGGGAGGCAUAACCAAGUCGAAAUCCUCGAAAUCAACCAAAAACCCGUCGCCCAGUCACGCCGCUACUUUCGGUUCCGAUAUCACCCAGCCCGCCGCCCUUACUUCUCCCGGCGGUUCCCUCGAUCUCAAAGGCCACACUCUUUUCCCUUUUUCUCUUAAUGGGUAUUUAUAAAAAAUAAAUACUAUUAUAUUUCUUUACUUACUUUUAUUGGUUUCUUGGGAGGAAGCAGAUGAUUUUGAUGUGCAAGAGGAAGUGUCAAGGCAUUUUGAUAUGAACAUGGCAUAUGGACCGUGCCUUGGGAUAACGCGGAUGGCUCGUUGGGAAAGAGCUCAAAGGUUGGGGCUAAACCCUCCUAAAGAAAUUGAGAAUCUCUUGAAAGGUGGGAAAGUGAAGUUAGAAUCCUUAUUUGAUGGUCGUGUUUAGUUAAUUGUUACUAAUGAUUUUUGGGUGACAUGUACAGCCUCUAGCUGUACUUUUAGUUUGGUGUUCAGUGUUCUUAAUGUUGUAAUGAACUGGAGAAGUUUGGCAAUAUUAAUGGAGAUGUUAUGCGAUGACUGAUUUGGUGUUUAAUGUUGUGUUAUGAUUAAAAUUGGAUCUAACAAGUUGAUUUUCUUUUAGAGUAAUUCGCGUGUUCCUAACUGAUUUUGGCCUUUAAAAGAUUUGAAGGGAAAGGGUUGCAUAUGUUGGGUUAUUUUACCUUGGAAUUUCUUUCAAUAACUAAUCCGGCUGCCACUUGUGUUCUAAAAUAUGUCUUCUUUAGCAGCAUCAAAUAUUCAAGUUGUAGCAGUACAUGUGGUUUCCUACUUAAUAGCGUAUAGCCUAUAGUUUUAUAUCAUAAAUUAGUUCAAAUAUUCAAGGUGUGUUCUAAAAUGGCUUGAAGUGGCUGAAUUACUUAAAUUCGAUCAUCAAUCAGUCACUCUUUUGGGUUCCACUUGAUUCAUUUAAAAUUAAUUCAAGAAAUAAACCAAAAAAAAAUCUCAGUAGAUGUAUUAGACAAAAAACUUUGUGCUGCUGAUCAAUUAAGGAUAAAAACUUGGUCGUGGAAUCGAAACAUAUUCAUUAUUCUGGCAUUGUAAACUCCUUGAACAGAAUUAUACAAAUAAAUUGAACUAAUUUAUGAUAUAAAACUUUGAGUAAUUUUAGUAGCCAAUGGAAAAAUGAAGAAAUAUUUCACCAGGCAAGUGAACAUAACAUUAGCUUUUCCAUUCUGAUUUAAUAAGACUUACAUUAGAUGAACCCAUGAGCAGCCACAUGAAUUCCAGGGCUUAAGAUAUGUGAAAUCAAUGAAGGUUGUUGCUACAAUUCUGGAAGAAUUUACUAUCCAGCUAAUUGCCCUGAGCUGGUCAGUCGUAUCACUCUGGUUUAACACAUAGAAGCGUAUCUGACAAAGGUUUACAAGUCCUGGAUCAGAGGAUGUGUAUAUCACUGGACAGAUAUUAAAAGCUAGACUGACUUUCCAGAAAAAGAAAAGCUAGACUGGCAAUUACCUAUAUAUAAUAUACUGGUAAAAAUCGGUAUCUUAUCUUUUCCUAGGAUGAAUAUGGGCCUGCAAUGGAGUCUUCAUCCCCACUGUGAACUCCUGCUUCUCCUCCAAGCUCACCUCAUCUCCAUCCAUAGCCUUCCAUUCGAGUUUCCAAACCAGAUUUGCCACAAAAUACUCCAGAUGAAGCAUGGCCAAGCCGAGUCCAGGACAAAUCCUCCUCCCUACCCCAAACGGCAUCAUCUUGAUCUCCCUACUUCCUGUUAUAUCAAAGACUUCCCCACUUUUAUUGCCACUGCUAAGGAACCUUUCAGGCUUAAAUGACAUUGGAUCCUCCCAUACUUUCGGAUCCCGCCCCAUUUCUGCUACCAGGAAAUUAAUGGUAGCAUUCUUGGGUACCGAAAAUCCUCCGAGGACUGUGUCUUCUCUCACGCUAUGAGGCAGAACAAAGUGGCCUGGUGGGUGCCUCCUUAGCCCUUCCAAGAUCACUGCCUUCAGGUAAGGCAUCUUCUGCAAAUCAUCUUCCUUGACCUCUUCCUCUCCAUCUCCCACAACCC